UAGGGAAUCUUCGGCAAUGGACGAAAGUCUGACCGAGCAACGCCGCGUGAGUGAAGAAGGUCUUCGGAUCGUAAAACUCUGUUGUUAGAGAAGAACAAGGACGUUAGUAACUGAACGUCCCCUGACGGUAUCUAACCAGAAAGCCACGGCUAACUACGUGCCAGCAGCCGCGGUAAUACGUAGGUGGCAAGCGUUUUCCGGAUUUAUUGGGCGUAAAGCGAGCGCAGGCGGUUUCUUAAGUCUGAUGUGAAAGCCCCCGGCUCAACCGGGGAGGGUCAUUGGAAACUGGGGGACUGGGGUGCAGAAGAGGAGAGUGGAAUUCCAUGUGUAGCGGUGAAAUGCGUGGAUAUAUGGAGGAACACCAGUGGCGAAGGCGGCUCUCUGGUCUGUAACUGACGCUGAGGCUCGAAAGCGUGGGGAGCAAACAGG
rnacentral:rRNA from 1 species